rnacentral:rRNA from 1 species
GAUCCGAUUUAGCCAUGCUAGUCGCACGAGUUCAGACUCGUGGCGAAUAGCUCAGUAACACGUGGCCAAACUACCCUUCGGAACACAAUACCCUCGGGAAACUGAGGCUAAUAGUGUAUACCAUACCACCACUGGAAUGAGUGGUAUGCCAAACGCUCCGGCGCCGAAGGAUGUGGCUGCGGCCGAUUAGGUAGACGGUGGGGUAACGGCCCACCGUGCCAAUAAUCGGUACGGGUCAUGAGAGUGAGAACCCGGAGACGGAAUCUGAGACAAGAUUCCGGGCCCUACGGGGCGCAGCAGGCGCGAAACCUUUACACUGCACGACAGUGCGAUAGGGGGAUCCCAAGUGCACAGGCAUAGCGCCUGUGCUUUUCGGUACCCUAAGGCGGUACCAGAAUAAGGGCUGGGCAAGACCGGUGCCAGCCGCCGCGGUAAUACCGGCAGCCCAAGUGAUGGCCGAUCUUAUUGGGCCUAAAGCGUCCGUAGCUGGCCGCGCAAGUCCAUCGGGAAAUCCACCUGCUCAACAGGUGGGCGCCCGGUAGAAACUGCGUGGCUUGGGACCGGAAGGCGCGACGGGUACGUCCGGGGUAGGAGUGAAAUCCCGUAAUCCUGGACGGACCGCCGAUGGCGAAAGCACGUCGCGAGAACGGAUCCGACAGUGAGGGACGAAAGCCAGGGUCUCGAACCGGAUUAGAUACCCGGGUAGUCCUGGCCGUAAACAAUGUCUGCUAGGUGUGGCUCCCACUACGAGUGGGUGCUGUGCCGUAGGGAAGCCGCUAAGCAGACCGCCUGGGAAGUACGUCCGCAAGGAUNAAACUUAAAGAANUGGCGGGAG